UACGUAGGGGGCUAGCGUUGUCCGGAAUCAUUGGGCGUAAAGCGCGCGUAGGCGGCCAGAUAAGUCCGGUGUGAAAGUCACAGGCUCAACCUGUGAAUGCCGCUGGAAGCUGUCUGGCUAGAGUCCGGAAGGGGCGAGUGGAAUUCCUGGUGUAGCGGUGAAAUGCGCAGAUAUCGGGAGGAACACCAAUGGCGAAGGCAGCUCGCUGGGACGGUACUGACGCUGAGACGCGAAAGCGUGGGGAGCAAACAGG
rnacentral:rRNA from 1 species